CCUACGGGUGGCUGCAGUGGGGGAUAUUGCACAAUGGGGGGAACCCUGAUGCAGCGACGCCGCGUGGGUGAAGAAGCGCCUCGGCGCGUAAAGCCCUGUCAGCAGGGAAGAAAAUGACGGUACCUGAAGAAUAAGGCCCGGCUAACUACGUGCCCGCAGCCGCGGGACAACGGAGGGGGCAAGCGUUAUCCGGAUUUACUGGGCGUAAAGGGGGCGCAGAGGGGGAUGCAAGCCAGGAGUGAAAGCCCGGGGCCCAACCCCGGGACUGCCGUUGAAACUGCGUGGCUGGAGUGCAGGAGGGGCAGGCGGAAUUCCUGGUGUAGCGGUGAAAUGCGUAGAUAUCAGGAGGAACACCGGUGGCGAAGGCGGCCUGCUAGACUGCAACUGACGUUGAGGCCCGAAAGCGUGGGGAGCAAACAGGAUUAGAUACCCGAGUAGUC
rnacentral:rRNA from 1 species